AUGGCUGCCUGGCGAAGGAAGGAGACGGCCGAAGCAUACGUGCUCGCCGCUCCUGGCGACGGAGGGAAGAAGAUUCCGAAGGGGUACCUCCCGCUGGCUCUGGUGGGCGAGGAGGGAGAUGGCGACGAGCGGGUGCUGGUGCGGAUCGAUGCGCUCAAGGAGCCGUGCAUGGGGGCGCUGCUGGAGAUGGCCGCGCAGCAGUUCGGCUACGGCCAGCCGGGCGUCCUCAGGAUCCCCUGCGGCGCACUGCAGUUCCAUCGGAUGGUCAGCGCCAUGUCCAGCAAGACCAAAGCCACGUAG
rnacentral:rRNA from 1 species